rnacentral:tRNA from 1 species
GGUAGGAUCCCGAAGCGGUCAAACGGGGCGGACUGUAAAUCCGCUGGCUUAGCCUUCGCAGGUUCGAAUCCUGCUCCUACCACCA